rnacentral:tRNA from 1 species
CAUUUGGUAGCUUAGUUGGUAAAGUAUUUGUCUAGCGUGUAAGGGACGAGAGUUCAAAUCUCACCUGAACUG